UCUCCGUAGGUGAACCUGCGGAGGGAUCAUUACAGAGUUCAUGCCCUACCGGGUAGAUCUCCCACCCUAUGUUAUUAUUACUUUGUUGCUUUGGCGGGCCGUUAGGCUCCGGCCCGACUACCGGCCCCGGCUGGUAAGCGCCCGCCAGAGGACCCAAAACCCUGAAUAUUAGUGUCGUCUGAGUACUAUAUGAUAGUUAAAACUUUCAACAACGGAUCUCUUGGUUUUG
rnacentral:misc_RNA from 1 species